AGAGUUUGAUCAUGGCUCAGAACGUACGCUGGCGGCACGCCUAACACAUGCAAGUCGAACGAAGUAGCAAUACUUAGUGGCAGACGGGUGAGUAACAUGUAGGUAUCUGCCCUUUGGCCUGGAAUAACACGAGGAAACUUGUGCUAAUACCGGAUAAGUCUUUACGGAGAAAGCUUUAUGCACCAUUGGAUGAGCCUGCACUUGAUUAGUUUGUUGGUGGGGUAAUGGCCUACCAAGACUGUGAUCAAUAGCUGAUUUGAGAGGAUGAUCAGCCACAUUGGGACUGAGACACGGCCCAAACUCCUACGGGAGGCAGCAGUGGGGAAUCUUGCACAAUGGAGGAAACUCUGAUGCAGCGAUGCCGCGUGAGUGAAGAAGGCCCUUGGGUUGUAAAGCUCUUUCGUCGGGGAAGAAAAUGACUGUACCCGAAUAAGAAGGUCCGGCUAACUUCGUGCCAGCAGCCGCGGUAAUACGAAGGGACCUAGCGUAGUUCGGAAUUACUGGGCUUAAAGAGUUCGUAGGUGGUUGAAAAAGUUAGUGGUGAAAUCCCAGAGCUUAACUCUGGAACUGCCAUCAAAACUUUUCAGCUAGAGUAUGAUAGAGGAAAGCAGAAUUUCUAGUGUAGAGGUGAAAUUCGUAGAUAUUAGAAAGAAUACCAAUUGCGAAGGCAGCUUUCUGGAUCAUUACUGACACUGAGGAACGAAAGCAUGGGUAGCGAAGAGGAUUAGAUACCCUCGUAGUCCAUGCCGUAAACGAUGUGUGUUAGACGUUGGAAAUUUAUUUUCAGUGUCGCAGCGAAAGCGAUAAACACACCGCCUGGGGAGUACGACCGCAAGGUUAAAACUCAAAUGAAUUGACGGGGACCCGCACAAGUAGUGGAGCAUGUGGUUUAAUUCGAAGAUACGCGCAGAACCUUACCAACACUUGACAUGUUCGUCGCGACUCUAAGAGAUUAGAGUUUUCGGUUCGGCCGGACGAAACACAGGUGCUGCAUGGCUGUCGUCAGCUCGUGUCGUGAGAUGUUGGGUUAAGUCCCGCAACGAGCGCAACCCUCACUUUUAGUUGCCAUCAUUAAGUUGGGCACUCUGAAAGAACUGCCAGUGAUAAGCUGGAGGAAGGUGGGGAUGACGUCAAGUCCUCAUGGCCCUUACGUGUUGGGCUACACACGUGCUACAAUGGUAUCUACAACAGGAAGCAAGACUGCGAAGUUAAGCAAAUCCCUAAAAGAUACCUCAGUUCGGAUUGCACUCUGCAACUCGAGUGCAUGAAGCUGGAAUUACUAGUAAUCGUGGAUCAGCGUGCCACGGUGAAUGCGUUCCCGGGUCUUGUACACACCGCCCGUCACACCAUGGGAGUUGGUUCUACCUUAAGGCAAGGUUUCAAACCCUUGACCACGGUAUAGUCAGCGACUGGGGUGAAGUCGUAA
rnacentral:rRNA from 1 species